CCCGCACAAGCGGAGGAACAUGUGGUUUAAUUCGAUGAUACGCGAGGAACCUUACCUGGGCUUAAAUGCAGAGUGCAUGGAGUGGAAACACUUUCUUCCCUUUCGGGGCUCUUUGCAAGGUGCUGCAUGGUUGUCGUCAGCUCGUGCCGUGAGGUGUCGGGUUAAGUCCCAUAACGAGCGCAACCCUUAUCGUUAGUUGCCAGCGGGUAAAGCCGGGAACUCUAGCGAAACUGCCGGUGUAAACCGAGAGGAAGGUGGGGAUGACGUCAAAUCAGCACGGCCCUUAUGUCCAGGGCUACACACGUGUUACAAUGGCCGGUACAGAGGGCAGCUACCUGGAGACAGGAUGCGAAUCUCGAAAGCCGGUCUCAGUUCGGAUCGGAGUCUGCAACUCGACUCCGUGAAGCCGGAAUCGCUAGUAAUCGCGGAUCAGCAUGCCGCGGUGAAUACGUUCCCGGGCCUU
rnacentral:rRNA from 1 species